UAAUAAUACAAACCUCUAUUCCUAAUACGAUGGUGUCCCCCCGUUGGGCAAUUAAAAGGUUUACUCACCUGUUUCCAGUGAGGAAGCUCAACGCUGCUUAACUCUCUUCCUCCAGUGACUUCAAAGAGGAGGCAUGGCCUCCUCUGUCGAAGGUCCAAUCCAAAGUUCUUUUGAAUACACAUGGAGGGGCUGGGGGGUUAAUGAGACAAAUAGAAAGGAACACAGAGUGCUGGGAUGAGAGAGAGGCACACAGAGGGCUAGCGGGAG